rnacentral:rRNA from 1 species
UGGGGAAUUUUGGACAAUGGGCGAAAGCCUGAUCCAGCCAUGCCGCGUGAGUGAAGAAGGCCUUCGGGUUGUAAAGCACUUUUAGUCGGAAAGAAAGAGUUGCAAUGAAUAAUUGUGAUUUAUGACGGUACCGACAGAAAAAGCACCGGCUAACUACGUGCCAGCAGCCGCGGUAAUACGUAGGGUGCGAGCGUUAAUCGGAAUUACUGGGCGUAAAGGGUGCGCAGGCGGUCUUGCAAGUCAGAUGUGAAAGCCCCGGGCUUAACCUGGGAAUGGCGUUUGAAACUACAAGACUAGAGUGCAGCAGAGGGGAGUGGAAUUCCAUGUGUAGCAGUGAAAUGCGUAGAGAUGUGGAAGAACACCGAUGGCGAAGGCAGCUCCCUGGGUUGACACUGUCGCUCAUGCACGAAAGCGUGGGGAGCAAACA